rnacentral:pre_miRNA from 1 species
AACAUUCAUUGCUGUCGGUGGGUUGUGAAUUGUUAGAAAACUCGCUGACCAAUGAAUGGAA